UAUCACAUCACCAUCACCACCAUCAUCGCCUCAAAACUGCCAUGCACUGCACUGUCCUGCCGCAUUCUUAGGAACACGAGACAGCAACCCAAACAGCUACAUUCUCUCCCUCAGCAGGUUCCAAAGCAGACAACAGGAUACUCGUCUGUUGUUGCAGACUGCAGCAAAUAGUUCCGACCGAGCUGUACAAACAGUAAUGAGACUUGACAGGAAGGAGGACCAUCAAGGGCAGGAAGGACCAUGUGGGUUUUGACCAACAACGCAAGGUUCAUCUUAGCAUUUUACUCUCGCCCCAUUUUCCUCUGACGUCAGAGUUCAACGUCGAAGUUUGUUCAACGGUUUGUGUCUAUAGCCAAAUGCAACAGCAAAAGAAAUAAUUUUUGCCCUCAAUACCACAAGCGCGCAUAUAGAGGCAUGCACUCCGUUUUCGAUUGCGAAUAAAAAUAUAAAGCUCGGAAAUCCGUUAUUCACAAAA